ensembl:rRNA 5S_rRNA 5S ribosomal RNA
GUCUAUAGCUGUGCCACCGUGAACGUGCCCGGCCCGAUCCGGUCUGAUCUUGGAAACUAAGCGGGGUCGGGCCUAGUUAGUACUUGGAUGGGAGACCACCUAGGAAGACCAGGUGCGAUAGGUA